AUCCUGGCUCAGGAUGAACGCUGGCGGCGUGCCUAACACAUGCAAGUCGAACGAAGCGCUUUUCCCGAAUUUUCGGAGGAGGGGAGAGUGACUGAGUGGCGGACGGGUGAGUAACGCGUGGGGAACCUGCCCUGUACCGGGGGAUAACAGCCGGAAACGGCUGCUAAUACCGCAUAAGCGCACAGUGCCGCAUGGCACGGUGUGAAAAACCACGGUGGUACAGGAUGGCCCCGCGUCUGAUUAGUUGGUUGGCAGGGUAACGGCCUACCAAGACGGCGAUCAGUAGCCGGCCUGAGAGGGUGAACGGCCACACUGGGACUGAGACACGGCCCAGACUCCUGCGGGAGGCAGCAGUGGGGAAUAUUGCACAAUGGGGGAAACCCUGAUGCAGCGACGCCGCGUGAGCGAGGAAGUAUUUCGGCAUGUAAAGCUCUGUCAGCAGGGAAGAAGAAUGACGGUACCUGAAGAAGAAGCACCGGCUAAAUACGUGCCAGCAGCCGCGGUAAUACGUAUGGUGCAAGCGUUAUCCGGAUUUACUGGGUGUAAAGGGAGCGCAGGCGGUUCUGCAAGUCUGAUGUGAAAGCCCGGGGCUCAACCGCGGGACUGCAUUGGAAACUGCGGGACUGGAGUGUCGGAGGGGUAAGCGGAAUUCCUGGUGUAGCGGUGAAAUGCGUAGAUAUCAAGAGGGACACCGGGUGGCGAAGGCGGCUUACUGGACGAUGACUGACGCUGAGGCUCGAAGGCGUGGGGAGCAAACAGGAUUAGAUACCCUGGUAGUCACGCCGUAACAUGAACCACAAGGGGGGCGGGGGGGCCCGC
rnacentral:rRNA from 1 species